CAAGGGAUAUUGCGCAAUGGGCGAAAGCCUGACGCAGCGACGCCGCGUGAGGGACGAAGGCCUUCGGGUCGUAAACCUCUUUUCUUGGUGAAGAGUAAGGACGGUAAUCAAGGAAUAAGCCCCGGCUAACUACGUGCCAGCAGCCGCGGUAAUACGUAGGGGGCGAGCGUUAUCCGGAUUCACUGGGCGUAAAGAGCGUGUAGGCGGCUUCCAAAGUUGGCAGUGAAAGGUCCUGGCUUAACUGGGAUAUGCCUGCCAAUACUGGGGAGCUAGAGGGCAGCAGAGGAAAGUGGAACUCGCGGUGUAGCGGUGAAAUGUGUAGAUAUCGCGAGGAACACCAGUGGCGAAGGCGGCUUUCUGGGCUGUUCCUGACGCUGAGACGCGAAAGCGUGGGGAGUGAAGCGGAUUAGAUACCCGCGUAAUCCACGCCUUAAACGGUGGAUACUAGGUAUGGGGGGUAUCGACCCUCUCCGUGCCGAAGCUAACGCCUUAAGUAUCCCGCCUGGGGACUACGGCCGCAAGGCUA
rnacentral:rRNA from 1 species